GUAAUACCCGGCUAGACUCCGGUAUCGGAAGUCCUACCGUCCGGUGGAAUUUCGGAUGUCGGGAACUUCUAGAAGGGUAAAGACAUGUUUUAUAAAAUGUUUUCAUGAAUUUUAAUGGUUUUAAAGUAUGAAACUAAAUGAGUUUUUGCAUGAAAAUAGCAUUGGAGGAAAACCCAGGUUCGGCCGCCGAAAGUCAAGUUCG
rnacentral:lncRNA from 1 species